rnacentral:piRNA from 1 species
CUGUACCCAGCAGGCUCAGCACGGUC